rnacentral:rRNA from 1 species
GCGUGAGUGAUGAAGGCCUUAGGGUUGUAAAGCUCUUUUACCCGGGAUGAUAAUGACAGUACCGGGAGAAUAAGCCCCGGCUAACUCCGUGCCAGCAGCCGCGGUAAUACGAAGGGGGCGAGCGUUGUUCGGAAUCACUGGGCGUAAAGGGCGCGUAGGCGGCCCUGUUUGUCGCGUGUGAAAGCCCCGGGCUCAACCUGGGAAUUGCGCUUGGGACUGGUUGGCUUGAGUUCGGGAGAGGAGCGUGGAAUUCCCAGUGUAGAGGUGAAAUUCGU